UCUCAAAAGGCACUUAAGGUAAUAACCAGCCAAGCCUUCAUAAGUAAUGAGAUGAAACUUCCAAAAUCGUUCACAGGAUGUAGCAGCUGUAAUUUCUAUAAGUGCCGUUUUCCGGUACACGCAAAUUAAACGUCGGCAUCGAAACACGCAAUGAAAUUUUUUUCCAAGGUAGAAAAUGCAACUUAGCAAAACCAUCAUUUGUUAAAAUCCCAAGCAAUCCGACGUUACCAAGCAACAGUCUCAAAUUCGGAAAUGCGUGAUCUAUGAAUGAAGGACGAAAUGGGAAGACAUAUUCCGCACGAUUUCAAUAGCAGGUGGGAACGAGAAAUUACGCAUGACGUCAGUAGACAAUAACAGAAGAGAAAAUCCAUGUAAAAGCGCAAUGGGUGUGAUGAGCAGUACAGAAUUAACCUGGAGUGGUAAAAAGAAUUCUGAUGCGGCAAUAACUUAAAGCAAAAGCGAAAAUAAAAAGAAAUGAAUCAAUAUUAGAUAUAAGAAAUAUCCUUGGAAUUGAAUUCACAGUUCAAAGGUAUCGCCAACAUCUAACACCUUUUGAAAAAGACACGUCAUCCCUCGAAUCCUCUCUUCAUUGUCAAAAAUGAAAGGUUGGACGUACGUUAAGUUCUUUUUGGCGAUGUAGGCAUUCUUGUAAAUUGAAAAGUAAUGGACUUAAAAACAAACGAGUUCGUCAGAGCUCGCACCGUUUAUUCGAAAAUAAAUGCUUUCCUAUAAAAAAUUACCUUAAUUACACAUCGGAUUAUUCACACAAUUCUUUCCAUCCAUCGUGACCCUGAUAGUUGACCAUCUCCCAUGGUCCAAUCAACUUUGACGACGGAAACUAUAUAUUGUAUCCAGGAAAUGCAGAGUCCAGGUUUUGUAAGACUGGGCACGACCAAAUAAAAUGAGAUGAAAUCAGACGGACUGUUUAUAUUGUCGAUUUCGCUUACGUAGGAGGCAGCACGCAAUUAUUAUUUUUAUCAAUACAAGAAGUCUUGAUCUUAGCUGUAUCAGUAAAGCUCGUUCACAUUUCGAACUUCUUGGCGUAGUCUUGGAGAAGUUUCGGAAAGGAUUAAAAGGUGUAUAGAGUCGCGUUGAUGUCUUGUGCUUUUUCGUCUUAUUGCUCGGCGACAAACAUCAAGAAAACAAUGGACGAGAGAAUAGCUAACGACCCCAGCGGUUCGCUUCACAAUCAGCUGGCGAAUUUUGUACUGAAACUACAGACAGACGUAAGGCUGGAAGACUUACUGGACAACAAUGAUAACGCUUCGCCACCGAAGAUAAACAACGUACAGGCAACACAACAAGCAGAUGUUUCUCCUACGCGUACGGAGAUGCACAUGAAACAUUUACUUCAUUUAUACAACGAAAUAAAGAACCAACAACGGAAUGUAUACAAUGCACACGAUCAAUCAAGAAAACGUAGACAAAACGAGAGCACGUUCGAAAGGCAGAAAAUGGUAAGAAACUCGACGGAAAUUUUACCCCACGACACGGAUUGUUUGGACGAAGCUUGGCUGUUGAGUGUCGCUGCGCAGUUAGGACUGGAUAGAAAUAUGGAAUUGCCCGUUCUUAAUUCGGAUUUUAUGCAGGAUUUAUUGUAAUUUCUAAGAGAUGAUUUCUCAAGCGAGAUAGGUGUUUGAAUAAUGGAAACUUGUGGGAAAAUACACUAAUUACUGAAACAGCGUGCAAGAAGACGAAACAUUUCAAUUACAUACGAGGAAAGAGAUCUUCUUACUCAAGACAGCUGGCGAUUUUAACAAAACAAAAUUCGCUCUUGUGUCAUCUUAUAUACACGUAUACGGUCGUUUGCAUAAAAUCAAGGGACUUAGGUAUGUUAAUAUUGCGUCAAAUGCAGAAGUAUUUUAGACCGACGAAUUCCUAUUACAUCGUCCGUCCGUUUGUUCAUCGAUAGAAGUGUUGAACGCCGUCAAAGCACUAUGGGAUGUAUCAAAAACACUGCUCUAUUGAUUGCACUGUACAUAUACUUGUUCAUAUCAUUACAAAAAUUGUUUUACAGCAAAUAAAAAGUCAGGUGUAAUUUAACAAAUAAAAGCUAAAUAACAGAUCA